rnacentral:rRNA from 1 species
UCCGGUGACCAUAUCCAUGUGGAAACACACGUUCCCAUUCCGAACACGACCGUUAAGCACAUGGAGCCGAUGAUAGUGCCGCAAGGUGCGAAAGUAGGUCAUUGCCGGUU